AGAGAGAUCUCGCUGCACAACGGGGCCAGGGGUCACACAGCAGUCAGAAAGGGCACCGUGGAAAGCCCAUCUCAGCCGAGUGACCGUGGUCUGACAUCACCCCUCACAUCAGAGAAAUCCCAGUUUCGAGGGCUAAGAGCUCACAUCACUGAACUGCAUCAUUUAAGGUCCCAGGCACAUCCCUCUCUCACCACACUGUAAAACUGGCCCCUGUUUUGCAUGGGCAGGACCCGGCCCAGUGCCCCACUCACUCUCAGAGCUGCCACAACUCUGCCCCCCAGAACUGUCCCAGGUGCCCUCCAGAGUGCCCCAACUCUGCCUCCACAGCUGACCCACUGCCCUGGUUCACUCUCCAGAGCUGACCAGCCCUUCCUCAUCCCUUGGCUCCACCGUGGCCACUGGAGGACUGGGAAAGGCAGGAUCUACAGCCUGGGAACUGCUCACACUUCCACUUCAGAGAGAACACUGAAGAGUGGGAAAGGAAGGAGAAGAAUGGUACCUUCAGCCUGAAGCCGUCCAGCCGGACGUCCAUGUGCUCAUCCCGCUUGCCUGAGUCCUCCAGCUUGUAGAUGGCUUUGAACUGCUCCAGGCUGCGACACAGAUCCAGGCAGAAGAGGUUUAUCCAGAGCACACUCGGUGUGUCCAGGCAGUGCCAUUGCCACGUGCUGAGGUCCCUACCUGGUGCACAUCCAGGUCAUCCACCCUGACCAGCAGGCAGCUGGAGCGCAGCCGCUGCCAGGGCGGGUGCCGCAGCCGCGGGAGACUCGUGGGGGGAGCCCGG